AAUCUGGUGGAAACAUUUCUGCACAGACUAGAUUAUGGAUGGCAGUGUGCGGAAAUGCUUCUGCUACAUU
rnacentral:pre_miRNA from 1 species